AUUGAACGCUGGCGGCAGGCUUAACACAUGCAAGUCGAGCGGGGGAAGGUAGCUUGCUACCGGACCUAGCGGCGGACGGGUGAGUAAUGCUUAGGAAUCUGCCUAUUAGUGGGGGACAACAUCUCGAAAGGGAUGCUAAUACCGCAUACGUCCUACGGGAGAAAGCAGGGGAUCUUCGGACCUUGCGCUAAUAGAUGAGCCUAAGUCGGAUUAGCUAGUUGGUGGGGUAAAGGCCUACCAAGGCGACGAUCUGUAGCGGGUCUGAGAGGAUGAUCCGCCACACUGGGACUGAGACACGGCCCAGACUCCUACGGGAGGCAGCAGUGGGGAAUAUUGGACAAUGGGGGGAACCCUGAUCCAGCCAUGCCGCGUGUGUGAAGAAGGCCUUAUGGUUGUAAAGCACUUUAAGCGAGGAGGAGGCUACUUUAGUUAAUACCUAGAGAUAGUGGACGUUACUCGCAGAAUAAGCACCGGCUAACUCUGUGCCAGCAGCCGCGGUAAUACAGAGGGUGCGAGCGUUAAUCGGAUUUACUGGGCGUAAAGCGUGCGUAGGCGGCUUAUUAAGUCGGAUGUGAAAUCCCCGAGCUUAACUUGGGAAUUGCAUUCGAUACUGGUGAGCUAGAGUAUGGGAGAGGAUGGUAGAAUUCCAGGUGUAGCGGUGAAAUGCGUAGAGAUCUGGAGGAAUACCGAUGGCGAAGGCAGCCAUCUGGCCUAAUACUGACGCUGAGGUACGAAAGCAUGGGGAGCAAACAGGAUUAGAUACCCUGGUAGUCCAUGCCGUAAACGAUGUCUACUAGCCGUUGGGGCCUU
rnacentral:rRNA from 1 species